rnacentral:lncRNA from 1 species
AUUUGUUUCCAUGGGUGUGUACUCUGAUGGUUCAUACGGUGUGCCUGCUGGUCUUAUCUACUCCUUCCCAGUAACGUGCAGUGGUGGUGAAUGGACAAUUGUUCAAGGUGGGUGUCGACGCAACACUCUUACCGCAUGGCAGUUUUUUUGGUUUAUAUAUUCUUCCCAUGCUUCUACUUGUCAGUCACGCACAUGUGUGACCACAUUAAUUUGUAGCAUCUUGCCUAAUAUUUAUUGUAUGUCAUCUUGCAGGGCUCCCGAUCGAUGAGUUCUCGAGGAAGAAGAUGGAUGCGACCGCCCAGGAGCUGUCAGAGGAGAAGGCGUUGGCCUACUCAUGCCUGGCGUAAAUCCACAUUCGAAGGGCAGCUGCUCCUCUGGAUGUUUUGAAUAAAUGAAACCUUCCGCUCUUUAGAAACUCUCGUCUCCACCCAGAACAGCCGCACAUCGCGAUGCAUGCUCCUUUUCGCUGGUUUUCCAAGUGUGUAUGAAUGAGGCUUGUAGCUCCCCUUUUGCCUGAUGAUUUACAGGACAGUACAUUUGCUGCAAGAGUGAAACAAUUUGACACCUGAUUAGAAUCAACUUGUUUUUCUCUUGAAGCAUCUACAACAAGUCACAUAAAAACUCCCAAAAACUGGUUAUACAGGGUGUCAAUUCAGGGGUGAUUCUCAGGUGUGCAUUUCCAGCAAGCCUCCUUAUCACAAUAUAUCCCUUAAAACGAGUUUUUUCAUUUCUCUUUAAUAAUAGGCAUAUGCAAGAUUAUUUUAUCACUGUACUAAUUUAAAUAAUGUAAUUUUGGACACACAUAGUUGAACAUCACUUCAAAACACAAUCAUGAAGUUUGAUUUAAAAUUUAAAUUUAAAUUAAUUCAUGUAGACAUAACAAAUGGUUAAAAAACAAAGAUCAAACAUGCACCAUAUGAGAGAACAUCAUGAUUAUAGAAAAAUCACUCCUACAUCACCAUUGCCAUUUUCACCUUUGUAUCCAUCCAUCCACACUGCCAUGUGCUCUCCUACCUCUUGCCAUCUUUGAUGCUAAAUUUGUGCUUUUUUCUACUCAUGGUACGGAAGCUUGUAGUCUUGCUCCAUUUUGUUUCUUCUGCAAUGCCUUCAAUUAGGAUGUUGAUUUGAUGGAAGCCAGGCUCGCAACUUCUUUUCUUCGAUUGCUGCCUCCUCACAUGCCACUUUGCGCUCCUUCAUUGCCUUAAACCUCGGACCAUCUCAAGUACUUGUUUUUUGUUUCUUCCAACUUACCAGGAGACCCGCCAACUACGACUAUCGUCCAUGUACGAUGCAUAUAGUCUUGAAGAUUAUUGUUUCUUCAUUCCUUUAUCUUUCUCACCUCUCCUUUCGGGUGGCCUAUUUGCAAUGAUGAUUGGAGUGGCAUUGCCAUUAGGAUUUGAGACUUCAUCAAUAUCAUCAUCGUUAUUGUCAGUGUUAUGCACUUGUGCAACGAAUGAUAAUUUAGCCUUUGGUUGGAUUGGAUAAUCCUUCCUGUCUCUCUAGAACAAUAGAACAUGAUAUACGUUGUUGUGAAGCAAAGCCCAACAAUAGAACAUGAUAAAAGCCCAUAAUUUUUGGCUCCCUCUGGCUGUAUAACUCGUCUGUGUAGCUGAGCUGUCAAGUUCAACUUGAGUGCAAACAAUUUAUAAAUAAAUUGUACAAGUAGUCACCAGCCCGUCCUCCGUCCAGCCCGUCCUCCGUUAGUUCACUACUUCUGCCAUGAUCUACUUGAGCCACACGACCAACCUAAUGAUUGCAAAUUGCUGAAUCAAGCUCAAUCGAUGUGCUAGUGACUUAAUGGAGUGCUCGAUGGAAGCAACCACACCACGAUGAUAAUUGAGUGGCUCUAUUUUAUACGCAUUUUUAGAGCUUAUUUAUUGCACACCAUCUCCAUAUAUCAUGUCCCAUUGAAUCAAUACAUGUCCAUUAUGCAUGAUUAUUGGUUUUUACUCUUUUUAUCGUGAGCAUUGCAUAGGUUGUGGUUUUAUUUAGUUUUUAUUAGUUUCCUUUGUUUUGUUUUGUUUUGUUUUAUCUACAGGUGUUUUGAAGCAACCAUAGGCCAAGCACGCCGAAAAGACUAAGGAUGGGGUUCAACACAGAGGACUUCUAGACACCAGACUUGUGCAUUUGGAGUGUAAAAAACAACAUUUUUCUAAAGUGCUCAAAAUGAAGAUCUAAUACCAUAGGUGCACCAACUUUGUUCACGCGAUUCCAAUGAGGCCAAGAACGUCAAAAUUGGAGUUUGUACGAAGAAGUUAUGCCCAUUUUACUAAAGGGGUCCACGACGUUUGAUGACGCUAAGUACGACCACGCUGGGUCGUACCACCCACAGAAAAGCAUGAAAUCGCUCAGAUUGGAUGGGAUUCUUCGUGGAUUUCAUCCCUAUUUGUUCCUAUGACCUUCUUGACCAUCAAGGGAGGUAUUGAGAUUGAAUUUGGCUAAUCUAGAGCCCUUGGAUCAAUGGAGAGAAACUACAUCCACGCAGGAGGCUUUGUGAGAGCCCUUGUAUAUACACCUUUAACCCUAGCGGCCGUCAUCAUCCAACAUUCGUCCACGAACAAAUCACAUUACCUGCAUUGCUGCUCCAAGACUACCUCUGAAAGGGCAUUUCCCUCCUUAAGUUAUUUGGGCGUUGAGGACAACGCAAUUUAUGGUCUAAACUUGUGAUUAAGCUACACAUGUAUCUUCCAAAAGUGGCACAAGAUGGUUAGGUUCC